rnacentral:rRNA from 1 species
GAUGAACGCUGGCGGCGUGGCUAAGGCAUGCAAGUCGACUGUCCCUUCGGGGGCAGGGCAGACGGGAGAGUAACACAUUGGUAACCUACCCCGAAGAGAAGGAUAACCUCCCGAAAGGGAGAAUAAUACUUCAUGUGCUCGAUUCUCAUAUGUGAAUCGCGUAAAUGCUCCGGCGCUUCGGGAGGGGCCUAUGUUCCAUCAGCUUGUUGGUGAGGUAAAAGCUCACCAAGGCUCUGACGGAUACCGGGUGUGAGAGCAUGACCCGGCUCAAUGGGACUGAGACACUGCCCAU